AUCAUGGUGCGGCCAUUUUGUUAGCUAUCGUUGAGGUUACAGGGGCUAGCUACUUUGCUCUGACGGUUGGCUGCUUAAAUUUCAGUCAAUGAGUGAACUUGACGAUUUUUUUUCUUUGGGAGCAACAUUCUACCACACGCUGACAGACAAGAGGAGAGCGUAUGUGUUUGCUGGUAUCGCGCUAAACCGGAUGACCAUUCAUAUUUGAGUUUGCUAGCCUGUUAGCUCAACCGGCUAACUGCGCGUGUCGUCAGAUGAAAUUAAAACACACGGCUUUCAUGACCAACACUCGUUUAAUAUCAUAGAGCUGUGACUUGCGUUUUUCACACAGUUUGUGACUGACUGCUCUUGGACGUCGUUGCAUUGCCCGGUUAGCAUAUCUACUUUUAAGCUAGGAUCAACGUUUCAAACUCGAGUGCAUCAUCCCGGUGUUAGCUGAUACUAACUCUGAGCUCCGUCAGCUGAUAGCUUGUGGACCAGCACUCAGUCUCUCGGACCAUGUCGGAGCUAUACAUCCGUGUGGCUGAGGAUGAAAGCGAGGAACCCAUGGAGAUUCCCUCGGAGGAUGAUGGGACUGUUUUGCUGUCGUCGGUGGCGGCUCAGUUUCCAGGGGCGUGCGGGCUGCGCUACAGGAACCCGGAGUCCCAGUGCAUGAGGGGAGUCCGGCUGGUGGAGGGUGUUCUGCAUGCACCUGAGAACGACUGGGGAAGCCUGGUCUACGUCGUCAAUUAUCCCAAAGACAACAAAAGGAAGAUGGAGGAAAUAGAUGCUGCUUCAGCCGUUAAAGUUAAGAGGGGCUUUCAGAAGACAUCAGAUCUCAUUGUCCUCGGGCUGCCAUGGAAAACGUCUGAACAAGACCUGAAAGACUAUUUCAGUACCUUUGGGGAGGUCAUCAUGGUGCAGGUCAAGAGAGAUGCAAAAAAUGGCAACUCAAAAGGAUUUGGAUUUGUCCGUUUCACUGACUAUGAAACACAAACCAAAGUCAUCGCACAGAGACACAUGAUUGAUGGACGGUGGUGUGAUUGCAAACUUCCUAACUCGAGGAUGUGUCCUGAUGAGCCGAUGCGGAGCCGUAAAAUCUUUGUUGGCCGCUGCACAGAGGACAUGACACCUGAUGACCUGAGGCAGUACUUUAUGCAGUACGGUGAAGUCACCGACGUCUUCAUCCCUAAACCUUUCCGUGCGUUUGCAUUUGUCACGUUUGCUGAUGAUCAGGUCGCCCAAGCCUUGUGCGGAGAGGACUUGAUCAUCAAGGGUGUCAGCGUUCACAUCUCCAAUGCAGAGCCCAAACACAAUAAUAGUAGGCUAAUGAUGGAGCGCGCGCGGUUUGGGGCUGUUCACCAACUCUUUCCCAAUUUCCCUGGAGGAAGCGCCUCAUUGGCAGCAAUGUUCGACAGAUCUCGGUAUCAGUUCCCCUCCUCCCAUGUGUAAAUGCUUUGUCAUCAAAGAGCACAGCUUCACUCUGCAUAUACUGUAUUAGACGGGACCUCGGACACGGGCAGCCCAGGUUUACGUCUGAGUCUGGAGUCAGUUGUGGAGAAGAUGAAGAUAUUGCAAACCAACAUUGGGAUUGCUGCACGACUGCUCAAAUUCUGAAAAGCAUCCUCUUCACCUCACUAUCAAGAAACCUCGGACCAUCCCUCACUGAAAUUCAGUGGACCAUACUCAAUUGGGUUAAGCUAUUUCAUUGCACCUACAAGGAAGGUGUUAAGGGUAGGACUAGAAAAGUUUUUGAAACUUCUGCCUACUCCUUGUUUUGCCUUAUCUGAAUAAUUCACUUGGAUUCUGUCUGUUUUAAAUGUUGUUAGUUUCUUUGUUUGGCAGAUUGUUUACAAUUUCUUUGAAAUAAAUUGCUUCAGUCAUUGAAAUGUCACACCAACACGUUGACAGUCGCCAUCUUUUCCCACACGUGUGCAACCCAGCGUCUGCCUUAAAUCUGAAACAUGCAUGUCUUGUCAGUAGAUCAUAUAUUCUUUGUCCACCACUACGGUGACCGACAGCUCUUUGAAGUAUUAACUUGUAGGCUUCUUUGUGGUGGAAAAAAAAACAACUAUUUCAUUAAGCCAGGAAGUGUUCUUUGUUGUUUUGUUUACCUUGAUUGUAAAGUGGUUGAAAUGUUUGAGCUGAGUGAUUUUUCCAAGGGACUUGACGGACUGAACAUGCCAGCAGAAAUCCACACUUUGUAUACUGAAAGAUUUUAGUAUUGCAGUGUAAAAUAAAAGCUGAGUUUUUAAUCUUC